rnacentral:rRNA from 1 species
UGACGUGCUUGCACUGAAUGAGAUUUUAACACGAAGUGAGUGGCGGACGGGUGAGUAACACGUGGGUAACCUGCCCAGAAGCAGGGGAUAACACCUGGAAACAGAUGCUAAUACCGUAUAACAGAGAAAACCGCCUGGUUUUCUUUUAAAAGAUGGCUCUGCUAUCACUUCUGGAUGGACCCGCGGCGCAUUAGCUAGUUGGUGAGGUAACGGCUCACCAAGGCGAUGAUGCGUAGCCGACCUGAGAGGGUAAUCGGCCACAUUGGGACUGAGACACGGCCCAGACUCCUACGGGAGGCAGCAGUAGGGAAUCUUCCACAAUGGACGCAAGUCUGAUGGAGCAACGCCGCGUGAGUGAAGAAGGGUUUCGGCUCGUAAAGCUCUGUUGUUAAAGAAGAACGUGGGUGAGAGUAACUGUUCACCCAGUGACGGUAUUUAACCAGAAAGCCACGGCUAACUACGUGCCAGCAGCCGCGGUAAUACGUAGGUGGCAAGCGUUAUCCGGAUUUAUUGGGCGUAAAGCGAGCGCAG